GGGGUUGUGGCUCAGUGGUAGAGCACCUGCCUAACACAUGUGAGGCACUGAGUUUGAUUCUCAGCACCCACA
rnacentral:tRNA from 1 species